GAUGAACGCUAGCGGGAGGCCUAACACAUGCAAGCCGAGCGGUAGAGUUUCUUCGGAAACUUGAGAGCGGCGCACGGGUGCGUAACACGUGUGCAACCUACCUUUAUCUGGGGGAUAGCCUUUCGAAAGGAAGAUUAAUACCCCAUAAUAUAAUGAUUGGCAUCAAUUAUUAUUGAAAACUCCGGUGGAUAGAGAUGGGCACGCGCAAGAUUAGAUAGUUGGUGAGGUAACGGCUCACCAAGUCAAUGAUCUUUAGGGGUCCUGAGAGGGAGAUCCCCCACACUGGUACUGAGACACGGACCAGACUCCUACGGGAGGCAGCAGUGAGGAAUAUUGGACAAUGGGUGAGAGCCUGAUCCAGCCACCCCGCGUGAAGGAUGACGGUCCUAUGGAUUGUAAACUUCUUUUGUACAGGGAUAAACCUACCCUCGUGAGGGUAGCUGAAGGUACUGUACGAAUAAGCACCGGCUAACUCCGUG
rnacentral:rRNA from 1 species